ensembl:lncRNA
GGGGCUUCUCCUGAAAAGCUGUCUUUUGUCAGCAUCAGACAUGUCUGCUGUUACUGUGACCAAACAACUCUAUCUUUGAUGUCCAGAGCACAUUAUUCCAAAAGGACUGGUCUUUGCCUAUAUGCUCACUGGCAAACUGUAGUCUUGAUUUAAUGAUGUUCUUUUUGGACAGCAAAGGCUUUUUCCUGGAACGCCUCCCAUGCAAGUCAAAUUUGUGCAAUCUCUUCCUGACUGUAGAAGCAUGCACUUUGACACCAACAGUUGCAAGACCUGCUACCAGAUCCUGUGAUGAAAUUUCAGGGUUCUUGGAGACUUCUUUGUACAUCAGACGAUUUGCUCUCGGACUUAAUUUGCUGGGAUGGCCAGUCCUGGAAAAAUGAUCAGUCGUUUGAAAUCUGUGCCACUAGUAGAUGAUUUUCCUUACAGUGGAAUGAUGUAUUUCAAAUAAUUUGGAGAACUUUUUAAAUCCCUUGCCAGACUCAUAGACAUCCACAACCUUUUUUACUGAAGGCCUUAUAAGAACUCUUUAGAUCUUGGCAUGAUGACACCACAUACCUCAGUAACAAAGGGAACACCAGACACUAGAUGUAAGAGUUUUAAAUAAGACAGGUUCCACCUGCACUCCCUAAGCAAGUUCUAAUCACCGGUGCCCAAUCUUGAACACCUGAUUCUAACGUUUUGGAUUUGUGGAGGUGUGAUUAAUCUAAGAGUGUACUUACUUUUUCCAUGUGCAACUUUAGUUUUUUGCUAAUUUAAAUUGUGAAAAUUACUACAAAAUGUCAAUUUUAUGUGUCAUUUGAUAGAGUGAAUCACCUUUAUUAAUAGGCAAUGAGGGCAUGUAAUGCGCGCAAUCAUGGUCCACUAUUAUUUUACAGAGGUCCUGUGGGUCCAAAACUUUAGAAUUACCCGCUUAACGUUUGACAAGUUAUGAAACAAAAUAGGACCGCUCGUGGCGCCUGCCGUAUCGUUCCUGAGACAGCCAGUUCCGUCAGAGAAGCGCAUAGCCAUUACCCU